rnacentral:rRNA from 1 species
AGCGAACGCUGGCGGCAGGCUUAACACAUGCAAGUCGAGCGGGCACCCAGGAGGUGUCAGCGGCAGACGGGUGAGUAACGCGUGGGAACGUGCCCUUCGGCUCGGAAUACCUCUGGGAAACUUGAGCUAAUACCGGAUACGCCCUUAUGCGGAAAGGUAGACUUCCGUAGGAUCGGCCGGCGUUUGGUUAGCUAGUUGGUGAGGGUACGGCUCACCAAGGCGACAAUCAGUAGCUGGGCUGUGAGGAUGGUCAGCCACACUGGGACUGAGACACGGCGCAGACUCCUGCACGAGGCAGCAGUGGGUAAUAUUGGACAAUGGGGGCAACCCUGAUGCAGCCAUGCCUCUUGAGUGAUAAUGUUCUUAGAGUUGUAAAGCUCUUUUCUCCGGCACGGUAAUGACGGUACCGGAAGAAUAAGCACCGGCUAACUUCGUG